AUCCAACUGGCGAGUCUCAAAUUGGACGAAAUGCGCGUCCUAUAU
rnacentral:hammerhead_ribozyme from 1 species